CUUGGACUUUCAAGCAUUUCACCAUUCAAUAUAUUCAAUCUCUUAUUGAUAUUACACUCGAAUUAGAUGACUAACAAGUGCCAUCAUGAACCUAUUAAUUAGAGCCAAUCCCAAGAUCAAGAGAUGUUCAAUUAUAUAUGUCCGAGUGACUAAACACAUUAAAUAAGUUCAAAUCAAUUAGGAUAAUAUCUCAUGUAAUGUGGGACUUAUCAAAGUUUAUUAGAUUUCUCCUAUAUUUAAUCUCACAAAUUAUCUCAAAAACCAUGGGCAUAAAUGUAAACCUGAAAUUCGACUUAAUGGAAAAAAUGACUUUGAGUUUGUAAAAGUUAAGAUCUUGAAAUUCACCAAAUGCUAGAUUCGUUAUUAGAAGGGACUCAUUUUGACCAUAUCUACAGUUCAAAUUAAACUUUUAUUUUUUUGGGAUUGAUUAUCGAGAUGAAAUGAGCUUGUGUGCAAAAUUUUGGGUCAUACAAAUACCACAAAUAUAGUUUUAUAGAAGUGUGGUCAAAUUUAAUGGUGAUCCUUUGUGGUCCUACACAUAUAGGUGUAGGAGAGUCUCAUAUGAUCAUUACUCAAUAUAUAUCCUUUGUGGUCCUACACAUAUAGGUGUAGGAGAGUCUCA
rnacentral:lncRNA from 1 species